rnacentral:rRNA from 1 species
GAUGAACGCUGGCGGCGUGCUUAACACAUGCAAGUCGAGCGAAGCACUUAGGAAAGAUUCUUCGGAUGAUUUCCUAUUUGACUGAGCGGCGGACGGGUGAGUAACGCGUGGGUAACCUGCCUCAUACAGGGGGAUAACAGUUAGAAAUGACUGCUAAUACCGCAUAAGACCACAGCACCGCAUGGUGCAGGGGUAAAAACUCCGGUGGUAUGAGAUGGACCCGCGUCUGAUUAGUUAGUUGGUGGGGUAACGGCCUACCAAGGCGACGAUCAGUAGCCGACCUGAGAGGGUGACCGGCCACAUUGGGACUGAGACACGGCCCAAACUCCUACGGGAGGCAGCAGUGGGGAAUAUUGCACAAUGGGGGAAACCCUGAUGCAGCGACGCCGCGUGAGCGAAGAAGUAUUUCGGUAUGUAAAGCUCUAUCAGCAGGGAAGAAAAUGACGGUACCUGACUAAGAAGCCC